GGGGGGGCGAGCGUUUAUUCGGAAUUAUUGGGCGUAAAGGGCGCGUAGGUGGUCAUGCAAGUCAAACGUGAAAGCCUUUGGCUUAACCAGAGAAUUGCGUUUGAAACUGCAUGACUUGAGUUCGGGAGAGGAAAGUGGAAUUCCCAGUGUAGCGGUGAAAUGCGUAGAUAUUGGGAGGAACACCGGUGGCGAAGGCGACUUUCUGGACCGACACUGACACUGAGGCGCGAAAGCUAGGGGAGCAAACGGGAUUAGAUACCCCGGGUAGUCCUAGCUGUAAACGAUGGGCACUUGGUGUAGGGGGUAUCGACCCCCUCCUGUGCCGAAGCUAACGCAUUAAGUGCCCCGCCUGGGGAGUACGGUCGCAAGGCUG
rnacentral:rRNA from 1 species